rnacentral:rRNA from 1 species
AGAGUUUGAUCCUGGCUCAGAAUGAACGCUGGCGGCGUGCUUAACACAUGCAAGUCGUGCGCGAAGGCGGCUUCGGCUGCCGGAGAGCGGCGAACGGGUGAGUAACACGUGGGUAAUCUGCCUGGGAGUGGGGGAUAACCUGGGGAAACCCGGGCUAACACCGCAUACGAUGCCGGGUCUAAGGAUCUGGUCUGAAAGCUGGCCUCUGCUUGCAAGCUAGCGCUCCCAGAGGAGCCCGCGGCUGAUUAGCUGGUUGGUGGGGUAAUGGCCUACCAAGGCGACGAUCAGUAGCCGGCCUGAGAGGGUGAUCGGCCACACUGGAACUGAGACACGGUCCAGACUCCUACGGGAGGCAGCAGUGGGGAAUAUUGGACAAUGGGCGCAAGCCUGAUCCAGCAACGCCGCGUGGAGGACGAAGGUCUUCGGAUCGUAAACUCCUGUCAGACGGGACGAAGGUCUGGGGGUGAAUAACUCUCAGGCUUGACGGUACUGUCAGAGGAAGCCCCGGCUAACUCCGUGCCAGCAGCCGCGGUAAUACGGAGGGGGCGAGCGUUAUUCGGAAUUAUUGGGCGUAAAGGGCGCGUAGGCGGCUUGAUAAGUCAAAGGUGAAAUCCCUCGGCUCAACUGAGGAACUGCCUUUGAAACUGUCUGGCUUGAGGCCGGGAGGGGGUAGCGGAAUUCCCAGUGUAGCGGUGAAAUGCGUAGAUAUUGGGAGGAACACCGGUGGCGAAGGCGGCUACCUGGACCGGUUCUGACGCUGAUGCGCGAAAGCGUGGGUAGCAAACAGGAUUAGAUACCCUGGUAGUCCACGCUGUAAACG